rnacentral:lncRNA from 1 species
UUUUAUUUUAUCAUUUGAUUUCCUUGCCCUCGCAGUUAUGUAAAUCUUGAGGCAAAGGAGUUCAAAAGAGGUUCUUAUUUUAUACCUGGACAUUUCACUGGACAUUUUUUCUCAAGCUUUAUAAUUAAGAUUGGAGAACUUGUGGGUAUUUUAAAUAUAUACUAAAAUUUGUCCAAAUAGCCAAAGGCAAAGGGAAUGACCAACUGGGUAGCUGAUGAAUAUUUUCCUGGUAGAUGUACAACAAUGUUCCCCACAACUGGGAUGCUUUAUCCUUUGACAUUAAGAAUGCUGUUUGCAGAAGUAACAUUCCUUUGAACACUCAGCGUUCUGAAAUCGUGUCCCGCCGCAAGGACUCAAGUAGGGUCAAAGUGGAGUCCUUUCAUGCCCACCAUUAUGUUUCCAAAUGCUACACCGUGCCUUGCAUUGAAGAAGACAGCAUGAUGAGGAAGCUCAAGAAGUAGGAAAACGAAAAUUUAGGAUGUCAGGAUCAUGAGAAACCAUGAAGACGUUUGUGGAAGACCACCAGAUGACAAGAUGGAAAGAAUACUGAUCCCUGUGUCACUAAUUAGAAGAGAGAGAUCAAGAAAUCUACCCAUUCAGAAACAUCCACAUUGGGUUUUGUUAUGAUCAAUGCAUAUUUUAUUAAGUCCCUGAGAUUUGGGGAUUCUUUGUUAUAACAGUUAUACUAUCUUAGACAUUAGAUAGUACAUCCUAUUCUCCACCAAAGCUGUCAGAAUGAGCCUAAUAAAACAUAUGUCAAAUGAACUCA